GCACAGCCAAUGAGGAGGCGAGGAGCGCGGCGUGCCCGUGUUUGAAUUGCGCGGCCGGUGGAUGGCGGUUGGUGCGAGAGGGAGACUGAUAGUCAGACCGAGAGACAGAGACGAAAGGAUUCAGCUGCUGGAUCUGAGAGUGCUGGGAGUGGAGCUGGGGAGCAGAAGGGAUGACUCCUGCCAAGGAAGAAGAUGUCUGCAGCCAUGUCAGAGUGGUGGUCCGUGUGCACCCAGAGAGCCAGAAGGAAAAGUAGGGCAACUUCAGUCCGUGUCAUUGACCAGCACGUGCUGGUCUUUGAUCCAAAGGAGGAGGAGAGUGACACACAGGCAUAGCUUUAACAGGACUGCACCCUUACACAUUAAGACCUGAAAGGACCAUGCAAUUCCUUUCUCCUAAAAAGCUCCAAAAAGGCAGGUUGUGUAGAGGACAAUCUACAUAACGUGUAGUUCAUUUUAAGGCUAUGCUGGAAAAAUAAGACCUUAUUUUUUUAUUUUUUUUUACUAGGAAAGAGCCAGUUUUAUAACCAUAAUGAUAGGGGAAUCAGUACUGUCAAAGGAGGAAUAACAAAUGGAACAUUUGAUAUUUCUUUGCUUUACUUUGAGUUCUUUACAUUUCUACAGCCUGAAAGUCACAGCUUGGCUUCAAAUGUCUUCAAAAAUACAGGAACAAUUUUGUGAAACCCCAACAUAUGAACUUGGUGUCUUCUGCAUACUUUGAAGGCCUUUCAUAUAUAUCUCCUUAUAUAUAUCUAUCUAUCUCAUGCAUCCAUCCAUCUUCCUUUUUUCCAGAGGAAGAAGUUCAUGUUUCUGUUCAGAUGAUAGAAGCCAGCACUCUAAAUUCAGGAAUAAAAGAGAAGGCAUAACAUAGAACUAAAUAAAUGCAGAUAGAUUUUAAAAUAUUUGAAAGUUAUAAGGUGAUGAAAUACUAUAACUUUUUAAUGAUAAAAUCUUUAGAAAAUAUCAAAAUUGAAGUUGUAAUUCUCUUUGACUUCAUAGAAUUCAGAAUCACAUAAAUUGUUGAGGCUUCCAAACUCUUAAAGUUGCCUUAUUUUACAAGAAAAAGUUAUGAAUUUACCACAUGGAAGUUGCAUUUAAUGGAAAUAGAGACUGACUCCUAAUUGCCCGUUGCAAGUGAGCACUAGAAAUUGGAUUUAUUUUUGCAUAUUGCAAUCUAAAUACUGUACUUUUUUGUGUUAUUUUUGAUAUUAUUUAUGUAAUAUACUUAUAUCAUUAUAUAUUCUUAUAUAUUUUUAUAUUUUAAUUCAUUCAUUUAUAUUAUUUAUUUUUCUAAUUAAAAUAUUAGAAAGUAUGGAAGAAGACUAUAUUUUUUUUCAUACUAUUUUAAUAGUAUUAUACUAUCUGUUUCUGGUUUUGGUCAUCCAAGAGUGUUAGCAUAAUGUUUAAAAAAAUACUGAAGCAAAUAAAAUGGUUUUAUCAAAGAAACAAAGUUAUCAAUUGACCACAAGGAAAUUGCAUAUAAUGGAAAUAGAGACUGACUCCUAAUUGCCCACUGCAAGUGAGCACUAGAAAUUGGAUUUAUUUUUGCAUAUUGUAAUUUAAAUACUGUACUUUUUUGUGUUACUUAUUUUUAUAUAUUAUGUAUUCUUAUAUCAUUAUAUGUCGUUAUAUUUAUUAUAUAUUUUUAUAUUUAUUCAUUCAUUUUUUUUCCUAAUAAAAAUAUUAGAAAGUAUGGAAGAAGACUAUAUUUAUUUUUUCCUACUAUUUUAAUAGUAUUAUACUAUCGAUAUUUCUGGUUUAGGUCAUCCAAGAGUGUUAAAAUAAUGUUUUAAAAUGAAGCAAAUAAAAUGGUUUUAUCAAAGAAACAAAGUUAUCAAUUGACCACAAGGAAAUUGCAUAUAAUGGAAAUAGAGACUGACUCCUAAUUGCCCACUGCAAGUGAGCACUAGAAAUUGGAUUUAUUUUUGCAUAUUGUAAUUUAAAUACUGUACUUUUUUGUGUUACUUAUUUUUAUAUAUUAUGUAUUCUUAUAUCAUUAUAUGUCGUUAUAUUUAUUAUAUAUUUUUAUAUUUAUUCAUUCAUUUUUUUUCCUAAUAAAAAUAUUAGAAAGUA